ACUAUACCUUGGUAUUGGCGUCAGUCGCGGAUUGUGUAGCAUAGGCGGGAGGCUUCGAGGCGCGGGCGCCAGCCCGCGCGGAGCCGCAAGGUGAAAUACCGCUCUGUUCUCGUUUGACGUCUCACCUCGAACGGUCAUCCUGUUCAGGGACAGUGCCUGGCGGGUAGUUUAACUGGGGCGGUUGCCUCCCAAAGAGUAACGGAGGCGCUCAAAGGUCCGCUCAGCCCGGUUGGCAAUCGGGUGUCGAGUGCAAUCGCACAAGCGGGCUUGACUGCGAGGACGGCGGUCCGAGCAGGGACGAAAGUCGGAGAUAGUGAUCCGGUGCCGGCGCACGGGCGCGGCAUCGCUCAACGGAUAAAAGGUACCCCGGGGAUAACAGGCUGAUCAUUCCCAAGAGUCCAUAUCGACGGGAUGGUUUGGCACCUCGAUGUCGGCUCGUCGCAUCCUGGGGCUGGAGCAGGUCCCAAGGGUUCGGCUGUUCGCCGAUUAAAGCGGCACGCGAGCUGGGUUCAGAACGUCGUGAGACAGUUUGGUCUCUAUCCUCUGCGCUCGUUGGAAUCCUGGGGAGGCCUGCCCAUAGUACGAGAGGACCUGGGUGGACGAACCUCUGGUAUGCCGGUUGUCGCGCCAGCGGCACGGCCGGUUGGCUACGUUCGGGAGGGAUAACCGCUGAAAGCAUCUAAGCGGGAAGCCUGCUCCGAGAUUAGGAUUCCUUACGGUCUUGAACCGUUGAAGCCCGCAUGUGGAACACGUGUUUGAUAGGCCGGAGGUGGAAGCCCCGCGAGGGGUGGAGCCGACCGGUACUAACGGGCGACGGCGACAUAGC
rnacentral:rRNA from 1 species